UACGUAGGGGGCAAGCGUUGUCCGGAUUUAUUGGGCGUAAAGCGCGUGUAGGUGGCCAAGUAGGUCCGCUGUGAAAACUUGAGGCUCAACCUCAGGCUGUCGGUGGAAACCCCUUGGCUAGAGUCCGGAAGAGGAGAGUGGAAUUCCUGGUGUAGCGGUGAAAUGCGCAGAUAUCAGGAAGAACACCAAUGGCGAAGGCAGCUCUCUGGGACGGUACUGACACUGAGACGCGAAAGCGUGGGGAGCGAACAGG
rnacentral:rRNA from 1 species